rnacentral:lncRNA from 1 species
AUGUGCCUGGUUCUGAGAGCUACUGCUGUUGUUCCAUUUUACAGAUGUGGACCGGUCACCAUGAGCCCAGGGCCGUGCAGCUUGUGCAUGUUGGAACCACAUCCUGACAUAAAUCAGUGGCCCAGACUCUGUCCCUCCCGGAGGAAAGUACAAAGGGACAGCGUGCCACAAAAACAUUGGUACGGAACCAUCAGAACCAUCCCUGGCUGUGAAAUGCGGGAGGGCCAUGCCAGCGCAUCCCAAGGGAAGAAAGUUCCAGAAGUUGCCUUUGAUGUGGAGAAAUCACCCAGAACAGAGGAAGAGGCUCUGGCUUCCGACUGCAAAGGGGUCAGCCUUCCCAGGGGGCCGUUGCUGCUUGGAUGGAAGCAUAGAGGGGUCCGAGCGGGCUCUGGUCAGUGGGGACACCAGCUUCGGCAUGAAGGCACCAGGUGCUGGUGGUCAGUGGGCACCAUUAUGGGGCAGAGGAGGCCCUCCUCCUCACCUGAGCUCUGGGCCUCUUGUUCUAACAAGAUGCACACAGUCUGGCGGAAUCUGG